AACGAACGCUGGCGGCAGGCUUAACACAUGCAAGUUGAACGGUUGUAGCAAUACAGCAGUGGCAGACGGGUGAGUAACACGUGGGAACCUUCCUAGGGGUACGGAACAACUCAGGGAAACUUGAGCUAAUACCGUAUACGUCCGUGAGGAGAAAGAUUUAUCGCCCUUAGACGGGCCCGCGUCGGAUUAGCUAGUUGGUGGGGUAACGGCCUACCAAGGCGACGAUCCGUAGCUGAUCUUAGAGGAUGAUCAGCCACACUGGGACUGAGACACGGCCCAGACUCCUACGGGAGGCAGCAGUGGGGAAUCUUGGACAAUGGGCGCAAGCCUGAUCCAGCCAUGCCGCGUGAGUGAAGAAGGUCUUCGGAUUGUAAAGCUCUUUUGCCAGGGACGAUAAUGACGGUACCUGGAGGAUAAGCCCCGGCAAACUUCGUGCCAGCCGCCGCAGUAA
rnacentral:rRNA from 1 species